ensembl:lncRNA
AUGAACCAUUGGGUCGAAACUUGAAAAUGAGCCGGAGCUGAGAGGAUCACCAAAACUAAAGAGCAUACAGCCAUGUCGACAACCAUCCAUGGAGAUCAGUGGACAAAGGACUAGACAAUGGGUCUCACCGAGAAAACGCAUGGUUCCCAAGAAAGCGGCCACUGUAAUCGAUGGGGGCUCGGGAUGGUAUUAUUCUGCUCAUCUGAUGAAGGUGCACACUUUGAAGACCGAGUUUGAGAUAUUGAAGGCAGACCAACAGAAAGAGAAACAUUCUCUCAGGGCAGAGAUACGGGCGACAGCUGAUGAAUUGGACCAGAGACAAAAAAGCAUUAAAGACAGAGCCAAUGAGUACUUGAGGUCACUGAGAAAGUCUGGACAUGGCCUGCUCUCACUUAAGUAAGGAAUUAGGCACUUGUAUGACGUUUACUAUGUAGGUUACAGUAAACCUAUUUGUCCUGUUGGUUUUUGUCAGACUGCACAGUAGCCUAGUAAACAUAUGCAUUUUAAAACAGUUGUAUUUCUUUUAAAAUCAAAUUCAAUAAUAUACUUGUACCACUGUAGAUAAUGUGUUUUUAUUUUUAGAAUACAGUUCCCGGUUUACAGUAGUGAUGGACAGCUGGGGGCAUUUUGAAAACAUGUUUUCAAACACUUGUUUUUCACAAGUGUAACAGGUUGUGAACUCUGCACACAACGUUUCCAUUCCGAGAAUGAGAAUGGUAAAUGACUGUAUUAAUACAUUCACUCAGUACAUUGGAAUACAAAAGAAGCCAUCAACCCAUGAUGGGCUAUUAUCAGGACAAUGGACUCUUGCCAAGGAGGAGAUGAAUAAGGAGGGUAGGAGGAGCAUUGUAUUUAAAGACACUGCACAGAAGCCUAACAAACAAGUGCAUUUUGAAAUAGUAAAAAAAAUAUGAAUUCAAUAAUAA